rnacentral:rRNA from 1 species
GAUGAACGCUGGCGGCGUGCCUAAUACAUGCAAGUCGAGCGAACAGAUGAGGAGCUUGCUCCUCUGACGUUAGCGGCGGACGGGUGAGUAACACGUGGAUAACCUACCUAUAAGACUGGGAUAACUUCGGGAAACCGGAGCUAAUACCGGAUAAUAUAUUGAACCGCAUGGUUCAAUAGUUAAAGACGGUUUUGCUUUCACUUAUAGAUGGAUCCGCCCCGCAUUAGCUAGUUGGUAAGGUAACGGCUUACCAAGGCAGCGAUGCGAAGCCGACCUGAGCGGGAGGUCGGCCACACUGGAACUGAGACACGGUCCAGACUCCUGCGGGGAGCAGCAGUAGGGAAUCUUCCGCGAUGGGGGAAAGCCUAACGGAGCAACGCCGCGUGAGUGAUGAAGGUCUUCGGAUCGUAAAACUCUGUUAUUAGGGAAGAACAAAUGUGUAAGUAACUAUGCACGUCUUGACGGUACCUAAUCAGAAAGCCACGGCUAACUACGUG